rnacentral:lncRNA from 1 species
UGGAGGUGCAUUUCUCAGAUGCGUCUCCUCUGGGUGUAACUCGCUGCUUUAAUCUCCAGCACCAGAAACAAACUAACACGGGAAUGUGCAUCUCUUCAUAAAACAAGCAUGAGAUUGUGUAAGCUUUCAGUUUUUCUUUGGGUCUUCACUGGUCUCAUGAGGGACGACUAUGCACAUGUGUAAAUUAAACGGACUGGCUUCUCUCCUAUUUAUCUGUGUUCUGGUGGUCUCCCUGUAAGGCCCCAGAGGAAAACUAAGCUGGAGAGCCGUUAACGAUUUUUCUCUCUUCGGCUAGGAGGAGCAAAGAACGGCUUUUCCCCCGAGCCUUGAGAGCCCGGCCCUGGGCAACACCUCGAUCUGGGACCAGUGGUGCUGACUUUGGACACCAGGCCCCAGAACUGGGAAAGAAUAGAUUAGAUUGUUUGAAACCACCAAACUUGUGGCUUAGGAAAUGACUAUCCUCUUUCAUCACUCCCGUUGUUUUUCUCAGGAACAAUGACCAUGCGCCAUUGUAUAGAUGAGGAAGCGCAUGCGCUUGGAGAGGCGGCCCGCUCAGCCCAGGUACAGGCAGAGGCAGAGCCAGGGGACGGACCACAUGCAGCUCAUCCUUCCGGGAGCUUCGCUGGGCAACAAUCAACCUGCUAACACGGUCCCAUCAUCCUUCUGCCAUGUAGAUCUCCAUCAUCCUGCCAUGAAGGUCUCUGUUAUCCUUCUGACUGCCUUGAACAGAUCCUAUGGAAUGAUUCUACCAGCUAUCCAAAGUGUAAUUAUUCUCCUUGAGGUUGAACAACUCAGCUGUUUCCACCCCCUUCCUAUCCCUUACUACCACUCUCAAGACCCUGCAUCAUUAUCUACCCACAGGCUUUUCUUUCUGAGACAAAGUCUUGUUAUAUAGUUCAGGCUGGCCUUAAAAUCACUGUGUAACCCAGACUGGCCUCAAAUCACUGUGAUCGUCCUGCCUCAGCCUCCCAAGUGCUGAGGUUACAGAUGUGUGUGACCAGACCAGCUUCACUC